ensembl:lncRNA
ACUCUUACACACACUCACACAAACACACUCUCUCUCUCUCACACACACACACACACACACAUUUUCACACAAAUAAAUCUCACACAAACACACACACACACACACACACAGAGAGACACACACACACAGACACACUCACACUUUCACACAAAUAAAUCUCACACAAACACACAGAGAGAGAGAGAGACACACACACACACACACAGUCUUACACAUGCACACACUUUCACACAAAAAAUAAAUCUCACACAAAAGAAAAAAAAGGAUUGAACUUCAUUUUGUGGAAUAAACAGACUUGCAAGACAAACAUAAAAUCGCGAGAAAGUAGCCUACAAAUUUAAGUUUCACAAAAACUUUAUUCCCCUCAUAAUCGCAUGUUUUUUUUUUUUUUAAAUGAGAACAUGUAGGAUAAAAUAUGAAAAAAAAAAGUUUAAAUUGUGAGGGGAAAAUUCGCAUUUUUAUUUUUUUUUUUGGCGGGAACAGUCUUCCAUAGUCUUCCGCGUGUGACAGUUCGCUCAAGUUGCUCAUCUGCCCUGCUGUGCAUUUAGCUUCGACAAACAGCUCCUCUUUCACAUCUCACAUUUCAAAAGCCAUUGAAAAGAAAAUGAAGAUUUAAAGCUCAGAGACAAGGGCUUGCGCCUAUAAAGCAGAUUUCGAGUUGUCCCAACACUUUUAGGAUGUGCACAGAUAAACACAUCAGCCGCCUGUUAUAAGGACGUGAAUUAUAGGCCACGAUGCAAGCGCAGCUGUCUUUCUUUUAUAUAUCUGUCUCAUUCUUCGUCUCCUAGAUGCUUUGCAAAAUACGUUAUCAUUAUUUCUCUGCCAGAAAAGACACUUUAUGAUCAUACUGAGUCCCACUGUAUGAUAUCAUGAAGAAACCGCGGUUUAUUAGUGAUCUGCUCAUCCAGAAAGAAUCUGGUGUUUCAUCAUAAUCCUCAGUUCACCCUGAGUUUUCCCUGCUUUCAUACGAGAAUCUGUCACCAACUCAGGUCUUCAGGAUUCUGCUGCCUGCAGUAUUUUCUUUCUAAUGUUACUCUUGUAUUUUCUAAAAACUAAACGAUUUUUAAUGCGGUCAGUCGAUCGGUAAGAUAGCUGUGACUCAGGAUUUUUAGAUGUGUUUUAUAUGUGCCAUAAUUCCUUUAACACUGUGUCUUUGCUCUUUGUAAUGAUUUUGAUGGGUUUGUUAAAUAAAGCAGCUUUUGAAUGUGGGUUUUAUUUUAUUUUGUGUUAUUCACUU